rnacentral:misc_RNA from 1 species
AACAGAAGUAAAAUAAGUACACCUUAACAUUUGAUAUAAUUACGCAUCAGUCGACAACAAAAGUAAAAUUGUGAGCAUUUAUCUUCAUAGUAUCGCUGACAAGUUCAAAAGCGAAAUAUCAGUUGUUAGAUUAAAUAACUAAAAUAAAACUUCCAUUAUUGCUAUAAACAGAAAAAGAAAAUAAGAAAAAGAAAAAGUGCACCUCGCAUGAGUGAUUAAUCAGAUG